UCUCCUUGGACCUUGGGUGUGGUUGUGUAUGUGUGAAUAUUGGAGCUUGAUUGGUGAUUUUGGAAAGCUUAAAAAGGGAUUUGGUGGUGAAAAAUCUAUUCUUGAAGGUGUUGAGACCUUGAGAGCUUGAGGAAAAAGUGGUUUGGAAGUGCUCCGGUUGAGUUUGGGAAAUCGGCUAAGAUGCAGGACGUGAGGUUUCCCGCUGAGGCAUGCUGGAGAC